GGGUGAAAAAGGGUGGGGGGGUGGGGGGGGGACAGGGUACUUCUCUUAACAAAGAGAAAAAUCCACCCCCUGCGGCUCAGUCUGGUGUUAAGAGCGAUUUGCCUUUACUCGCAGCCAGGCAGGUAAAGAACGGCUCCUGUUUCAGACCGCGGGGGAGUGUGUGUGUGUGUGUGUGUGUGUGUGUGUGUGUGUGUGUGCGUGCAAGACUGAAUACAUUAGUGUAUUUGUGCAAGGUAGGCUGCGUUCAGGCUUGCCACAUUUGCAGUCCGCUGUAGGUGGGUGUAUUGAUGAGCUGUGUGUGUGUGAGAGAGAGAGAGGAGUGUGUGGCGUGUGUAUGUGUGUGUGUGUGUGAGAGAGAGAGAGGAGAGUGUGUGGCGUGUGCCAGGGCAGCUGCAUGGCACCGAGCCUGUGCUGUAAAUAUGUGACCUCAGGCACAUCAGUAGAAGCUUUUAUUUAUUUAUUUAUUUAUUUAUUUACUUGCUUGCUUGCUUAUUAAUAAAUGUAUUUGAAACAAGAGCUCCUUUAAUCCUCCUUUAUUUUCCUGUAACAGCGUGUCGUAAAAGGUUUUAUUCCGCUUUUACUACAGCGACGUACCGGCGCGAUGUACAGUGCUUUUAUUCAUUUAUCUAUGACCGAAUCGCGUCUCGCGGUCCGUUCAUCUUCAUCCGUUUACCAGCCCUAAAGUCUUCUUAUUAUUUUUCCCCCCUUCUUUUUUUUCCUUUUCUUUAUUUCGCUCUCUUUUAACAUUAAUAUCCAAAAAACGAAACGCAGCCCGUCACGUUACCGAGCGACCGCGAAGAAGCUUCCCGGGGCUGUCGGGAAACGUUUAGAAAGCGCCGACGCCGGAGACUCCUUCCGUAACCGUUAGAGAAACAUCUCCUCGCUUUAAGGAAAACCUCGUCACCGUACCGACGAUUAGACGCGUUCGCGGAGGAGUUGUUACUAUAGAAACACUGACACAUCGGAACGGGCGCAGGUAUAUAGAGCCGUCGGAACGUUUCCGACCGAUCAGGAAUCUUUCGUUCUAACAUUUAUUCUACACAAUAUAUAUGUAUAUACAUA
ensembl:lncRNA